UUUGGUGGCGAUAGCGAAGAGGUCACACCCGUUCCCAUACCGAACACGGAAGUUAAGCUCUUCAGCGCCGAUGGUAGUUGGGGGUUUCCCCCGAAAAAGUACAAAACCGAAG
rnacentral:rRNA from 1 species